rnacentral:rRNA from 1 species
GAUGAACGCUGGCGGCGUGCCUAAUACAUGCAAGUCGACCGAACAGACCAGGAGCUUGCUCCUCUGACGUUAGCGGCGGACGUCUGAGUAACACGUGGAUUCCCUACCUAUAAGACUGGGCUUAGUUCGGGAAACCGGAGCUAAUACCGGAUCAUAUAUUCAACCGCCCGGUUCAUUCAUGAAAGGCGCUUUUACUGUUACUUAUACCUGGAUCCGCGCCGAAUUAGCUAGUUGGUCAGGUAACGGCGUACCAAGGCAACCAUGCGUAUCCGACCUCAGAGGGUGAUCGGUCACACUGGAACUGAGACACGGUCCAUACUCCUACGGGAGGCAGCAGUAUGGAAUCUUCCGCAAUGCGCGAAAGCUUAACGCAGCGACGCCGCGUCAGUGAUGAAGGUCUUGGGAGCGGAAAACUCUGUUAUGAGGGAAGAACAAAUAUGUAAGUAACUAUGAACGUCUUGACGGUACCUAGACAGAAAGCCACGGCUAACUACGUG